rnacentral:ncRNA from 2 species
GUGAAGUCGUAAAUUUGUUGCGACCUCAAAGAGCAAUCUUUGAGAAAAACCUGACUAUAUGCUGGAAACCCUGUGUAUCUUGUGCUACUCAUGAUAAUAUAUUUAUAUGAGUGAAAAAGCUUCAAGUGCAGGCAAUCAGCAGGGAAGAGCAUCUUUCGCAAGAAAGGGAAAACUCCCCUCAGAGACUACACGUCAGGCGCCUUUCUCUGAAAAAGAAAUAAAGGCUUAUCUUUUAGGUGCAUUGCACGAUGCAACUUUCAGCAGCAAUCGAAGAUUUCGGUUUUCUCAAAAGGGAACCGGAUGGUUGAAAUUUCUUCAAAUGCUGUUUAGAAGAAUUGGUUAUAAAUCUUGGGUUUAUAAGGAAGGUAAAACCAG